UGGGCUAAAUUUCUUGUUGAACAUUUAGUCCUCACAAUGUCGAUAUCAACUAUAUCUAAAAUAAUACAUAUUGUGACAAUGUUUCUCAGCAAUUUAAGUCCGGAUGUUAUAAAAUGGCCUAAUCAGCAGAAGAAACAAGAAUCCAGUCAAUAUUUUGAUAAUAAGUGCAUGUUCUCCAAAGCAAUAGGAUGCAUCGAUUGAACCCACAUAGAAAUUGUCCUACCAAAAAGGGGAAAAGAUGAGUACAUUGACAGAAAAAGCAUCGUAUAGGUUGUUCUGCAAGGGAUCUGUAAUGAGCAAAAAAAGUUCAUUAACAUAUUUUUUGGAUACCCGGGUUCCAGCCACGAUAGUUGGGGUUUUAAAAAUUCUCCCAUAUAUAAUAAAUUACCUUCGUAUUGCGGAGAUUACUACCUUUUAGGUGAUUCGGCGUACCCUUGCAGCAAAUAUGUAAUCACUCCAUAUAGAGAUAACGGCCAUUUGACUCGUGCUCAGAAAACAUUCAAUGUCAAGUUGAGUUCUGGUCGUGUUGCAAUCGCACUCACGUUUGGGAUUUUAAAAGAAAGAUUCAGGCAGUUGUAUUAUUGCAAGUUGAGAGGCAUGAAAAAACUCUGUCAUUUUGUGCGUGCGUGUUGUGUUUUACAUAACUUAGCAAAUGAAGACGAUU